GACGAACGCUGGCGGCGUGCUUAACACAUGCAAGUCGAACGGAAAGGCCCUGCUUUUGUGGGGUGCUCGAGUGGCGAACGGGUGAGUAACACGUGAGUAACCUGCCCUUGACUUUGGGAUAACUUCAGGAAACUUGGGCUAAUACCGGAUAGGAGCUCCUGCUGCAUGGUGGGGGUUGGAAAGUUUCGGCGGUUGGGGAUGGACUCGCGGCUUAUCAGCUUGUUGGUGGGGUAGUGGCUUACCAAGGCUUUGACGGGUAGCAGGCCUGAGAGGGUGACCGGCCACAUUGGGACUGAGAUACGGCCCAGACUCCUACGGGAGGCAGCAGUGGGGAAUAGUGCACAAUGGGCGGAAGCAUGAUGCAGCAAAGCAGCGUGCGGGAUGACGGCCUUCGGGUUGUAAACCGAUUUCGCCUGUGACGAAGCGUGAGUGACGGUAAUGGGUAAAGAAGCACCGGCUAACUACGUG
rnacentral:rRNA from 1 species